GACUGCCCUGGUAUCUUAGUUUUUAGAGCAUCCGCCUUGGAUGCGGGAGGUCGUGGGUUUGAACCACGACCAAGUCA